GGGGAGGUUCCAGAGUGGCUAAAUGGGGCGGACUGUAAAUCCGCUGUCUUACGACUUCGGCAGUUCGAAUCUGCCCCUCCCCA
rnacentral:tRNA from 1 species